rnacentral:rRNA from 1 species
GAUGAACGCUGGCGGCGUGCCUAAUACAUGCAAGUCGAGCGAACAGACGAGGAUCUUGCUCCUCUGACGUUAGCGGCGGACGGGUGAGUAACACGUGGAUAACCUCCCUAUAAUACUGGGAUAACUUCGAGAAACCGGAUCUAAUACCGGAGAAUAUAUUGAACCGCGUGGGUCAUUGGUGAAAGACGGUUUUGGGGUCUGUUAUAGAUGGUUCCCCGCCGCAUGAGCUGGUUGGUAAGGUAAAGGCCUUCCAAGGCAACCAGGCGUAGCCGACCUGAGAGGCGGAUCGCCGACCUGGGAGGGGAGACGCGGACCAGGCGCCUAAGGGAGGCAGCAGUAGGGAAUCGUACGCAGUGGGCGAAAGCCUGACGGAGCAACGCGGCGCGAGUGAUGAAGGUCUCCGGAUCGUAAAACUCUGUUAUGGGGGAUGAACAGAUGUGUACGGAACUAUGCACGGCUUGACGGUACCUAAUCAGAAAGCCCCGGCUAACUACGUG